rnacentral:rRNA from 1 species
UACGUAGGGGGGCUAGCGUUGUCCGGAUUUAUUGGGCGUAAAGAGCGUGUAGGCGGCCAGGUAGGUCUGGUGUGAAAACUCGAGGCUUAACCUCGAGAUGUCAUCGGAAACCAUUUGGCUAGAGUCCGGAAGAGGAGAGUGGAAUUCCUGGUGUAGCAGUGAAAUGCGUAGAUAUGCGGAGGAACACCGAUGGCGAAGGCAGUCCCCCGGGCCUGUACUGACGCUCAUGCACGAAAGGCGUGGGGAGCAAACAG